UCCGAGUUGACCCCGGCAGUCUCCUACGAGUCCCCGGCAUUACCCGCUGGCAACUAAGGGCGAGGGUUGCGCUCGUUGCGGGACUUAACCCAACAUCUCACGACACGAGCUGACGACAGCCAUGCAGCACCUGUGUGCAGGUCCCCGAAGGGAAGGUGCCCAUCUCUGGGCACCGUCCUGCCAUGUCAAGGGCUGGUAAGGUUCUUCGCGUUGCGUCGAAUUAAACCACAUGCUCCACCGCUUGUGCGGGCCCCCGUCAAUUCCUUUGAGUUUCAGCCUUGCGGCCGUACUCCCCAGGCGGGGCACUUAAUGCGUUAGCGCCGGCACCCAGGGGGUCGCUCCCCCAGGCACCUAGUGCCCAUCGUUUACGGCGUGGACUAC
rnacentral:misc_RNA from 1 species